GCCGCGGCUAAAGGUUUGAUAACAAGUUGCUCAGCUAUAGGCACCUCCUAUUCAUCCUCAUAAUACAUAUCAAUAACUGAGAACAUACUCAUCUCUUCAUGCUGCUUCAUCGAUUUGCCCACAUCAAAUCGUACCACUUCAUUAUUUAUCCUGAAUAAGAGCUCAGUCGCUCUCAAAUCAAUAAGCAUACUUUCGGUUGUGACAAAAGGUCGACCCAAGAUUAUGGGCACCUCGAAGUCAACCUCGCAAUCCAGAAUAAUGAAUUCUGCAAGGAAUAUAAAGUUGGACACCUUUACCAACAUAUCAUAUAGAAUGCCAACAGGCCGCUUUACUGACCUAUCUGCCAUCACGAG
rnacentral:lncRNA from 1 species